CUCUGAAAUUCCCGCAAGACGAUCUAUCAUCAGAACAAACUUCUUUCCGGCUUUCUUGCUUUCAAUCUCUAAUUUUAUAUUCUGAUGGCAGAUGGACUUGUUCCAUCGGUUCUGAGUCACUUGAAUUCCGCCGUCCAAUCCGAGCUAGGAUCGGUACUCUCCUGUCGCCAAGAGCUACAAGACCUUUCCAGUGCAUUCAAAGCCAUCCAAGCCGUUCUUCGCGAUGCUGAGAGGAGACAGAGAAAGGAAGAAGCUCUGAGUGAUUGGCUGGAGAAGAUCAAAGAUGUGGCCAGCGACUUUGAAGACAUGCUGGAUGAAUGCAGAGCCGAAUCCAUCAGAUAUGAAAAUGAAGAGAGCAGAAUCUCACCUUCCACAAAGCGGUGGCGGAAGGACGAAUGAUACCUUAAGGAUUCGACCAUAGUCUGACAGUUGCAUCAAUCAAUCUACAUCAUCCAUCAAAUGAUACUCCACUUCCAAUCAACACUGAUGCCCGAAAGUCAUAACAGCCGGUAAGGUGUGGCUGAAGGUGGAGCAACCGUAUAGGUUUGUUUCCACAUUUCUCCCUCAUUUAUUUUGGAUUUCAAGGCAUGUAUGCCAAUGUGUGUUAGUGUGAAACUCUUU